UCCAGUCCUUAACUGACGCUAAAGCUCGAAAGUGCGGGUAUCGAACAGGAUUAGAUACCCUGGUAGUCCGCACGGUAAACGAUGGAUGCCCGCUGUUGGCGAUACACUGUCAGCGGCCAAGCGAAAGCGUUAAGCAUCCCACCUGGGGAGUACGCCGGCAACGGUGAAACUCAAAGGAAUUGACGGGGGCCCGCACAAGCGGAGGAACAUGUGGUUUAAUUCGAUGAUACGCGAGGAACCUUACCCGGGCUUGAACUGCAGCUGAACGAUCCAGAGAUGGUGAGGCCCUUCGGGGCAGCUGUGGAGGUGCUGCAUGGUUGUCGUCAGCUCGUGCCGUGAGGUGUCGGCUUAAGUGCCAUAACGAGCGCAACCCUUUUCUCUAGUUGCCAUCAGGUAAUGCUGGGCACUCUGGAGACACUGCCACCGUAAGGUGUGAGGAAGGUGGGGAUGACGUCAAAUCAGCACGGCCCUUACGUCCGGGGCUACACACGUGUUACAAUGGGUGGUACAGAGAGUCAGCGGCCGGCAACGUCCGCUUAAUCAUGAAAUCCAUCCUCAGUUCGGAUUGGGGUCUGCAACCCGACCCCAUGAAGCUGGAUUC
rnacentral:rRNA from 1 species